rnacentral:lncRNA from 1 species
CAGAAAAGCUCUGAGGCUGGAGAGCUGAGCCAAAGACGAUGAGGAGUCUGCUGGCACUGCUGAUCUUGACUCUGGCCCUGGCAGCGCUCUGCUAUUGUGAAAAAGGUUCGAGGGACAAACAAGAGCCAUGCUGAGUCCCUUUGUCUACUCACCCUUUUCGCCAUCAAUGCUGCAAUCCCUGAAACGCUGUCGGCUGGAGCACGUGUAGCAGAAGGGCUGGCUUUCACAAGCUGUUGGAGUAGGAGACAUGAGGGAGAUCAGGCCUCCUGCACAGGCAUCAAGAUUAAAAGGGAAGUUGCCAAUGCCUUUGUGAGAAGGCAGAAGAGAUCCAACUUGCAUGAAAGGUAACAACUCAUGAGUCAGGCUGAGGGCUAGACCCUGGAUUUGUUGUAAAGACAGGGUGGGA